AAUGAACGUUGGCGGCGUGGAUUAGGCAUGCAAGUCGCGCGACAAGGAACCUUCGGGUUCUGGAGGAGCGGCAAACGGGGUAGUAAGGCAUCGGAACGUACCCUCUUGUUGGGAAUAGCCGCGGGAAACUGCGAGUAAUGCCCAAUAAUCCCUACGGGGCAAAGGUCCGCCGCAGGAGGAGCGGCCGAUGUGAUACCAGCUAGUUGGUGAGGUAAUGGCUCACCAAGGCUUAGACGUCUAGGGGGUGUGAGAGCAUGGCCCCCCACCACUGGGACGUGAGAUACUGCCCACGACACCUACGGGUGGCUGCAGUCGAGAAUCUUCGGCAAUGGGCGCAAGCCUGACCGAGCAACGCCGCGUGCGGGAGUGAAGGACCC
rnacentral:rRNA from 1 species